UUCUAUUUUUCUAUUUUGAUGCUAUUGAUACCUGUCUACUUGUUUUGUUUUGUUGUCUUUCUCCCCCUUCUAGACUGGGAGCCCAUUGUUGGGUAGGGAUUGUCUUUAUCUGUUGCCAAAUUGUACUUUCCAAGCACUUAGUACAGUGCUCUGCACACAUAAGUGCUCAAAAAUGCGAUUGAAUUAAUUCAUUAAUUAAUUUAUGAAAUGUUUUCCUGCCCUAUGGUGGGGCUCUGGUUCCCGGAGAGUGAAGAAACAAUAUGGCCACAUAUGUUCCCUGGCACAGGGAGCAAUGGGUAGAGUCAUUCUGGGAAUCAAUCAAUCGGUCAAUUAAUAGUAUUGAUUGAGCACUUACUGUGUGCAGAGCAAUGACCUAAAGGCUUGUGAAUGUACAAUAAUGUUCGUAGACAUGAACCCUGCCCUCAGGGAGUGAACAUUUUAGUGGGAGACUCGGACACAAACUAAUCCAUCAGUGAAAUCCCAGUUUUGAGUUCUCCCCUCCCUGCCAGGACUGUGAGCCCCAUGUGGAACAGGGCCUGGGUGUGGCCUGAUUAUCUUGUAUCGACCCCACUGCUUAGUGCAGUUCUUCAAACGUAGAAAGAACUAUUGCAGCCUAGUAGAAUAGAAUACGGGCCUGGGAUCAGAAGGACCUGGGUUCUAAUCUCAGAUCCACCACUUGUCUGCUGGGUGACCUUGGGCAAGUCACUUAACUUCUCUGUGGCUCAGUUACCUCAUCUGUAAAAUGGGGAUUAAGACUGUGAGUCUUAUGUGGGUCACAGCCUGCAUCCAACCUGAUUAUCUUGUAUCUACCCCAGCAUUUAAUACUGUGUCUGGCACACAGUAACUCUUCCAACUGCCUCUGGCGAGUUCCGCCUGUGAUCGAUAAGACGUUCAAAUGCCGCCUUUCUAUCGGAGGGUGGAGCCCAGCAGGGUCAAGUCCUGGAACUAAUCCUGCAAAAGCAACUUCAGGUCCUGGUGAGAAGAACCUGGCUGCCACCAAACAGCAAAGAAUCUGCCUUUCUGCCGGGACUGCCGGGUGGAACAGCCCAGGGAGGUGUCGGGCUGGGAUGAAGAAGAUGGCAGGUUUCCCAGAAUCCUUCACAUCCAGAUUCCUCAUCCUCCUCUUUCUCCAGCUGCUCACGAUGGGUUCAGGUAGGAGUUUCUUUACCUUUUCACUACUCGUUGGGGACAUGUCAGAGGGAAAGAAUAAAUCCUCCAUGGGUCACCAGUGUGAAGGUUUCUCUCCAGAGAUCAGAGCAGAGUGAAUUGUUUGUCCUCUAAAUCAAUUGUGGGUUUAACCAAGCAUUUCUCACUUCCUUGGUGAACUCAUUCGCUCUCACAGCUUUGACUACCAUCUCUACGCAGAUGACACACAGAUCUACAUCUCUGCCCCUGUCCUCUCCUCCUCCCUUCAGGCUCGCAUCUCCUCCUGCCUCCAGGACGUCUCCACCUGAAUGUCUGCCCG
rnacentral:lncRNA from 1 species